rnacentral:rRNA from 1 species
UACGUAGGGGGCAAGCGUUGUCCGGAUUUAUUGGGCGUAAAGAGCGUGUAGGCGGCCAGACAGGUCAGCUGUGAAAACUCGAGGCUCAACCUCGAGACGUCGGUUGAAACCGUCUGGCUAGAGUCCGGAAGAGGAGAGUGGAAUUCCCGGUGUAGCGGUGAAAUGCGCAGAUAUCGGGAAGAACACCCGUGGCGAAGGCGGCUCUCUGGGACGGUACUGACGCUGAGACGCGAAAGCGUGGGGAGCGAACGGG